rnacentral:tRNA from 1 species
CAGAAAGUAGUUUAAGUUAGAAUGCCAGUUUUGGGUAUUGGUGGCGGAGUUGGAUGCUUCCUUUCUGA